UAUCUCAAAAAAACAAAAAAGAAUGGUUGAUUAUCUCAAUACUCUCCUUCACCUUCUCACCAGAAACAAAUAAGAACAGCAAAAAAUUGUAAUUUUCAGGAAAGAAAUACUUUGCCAGCUCUGCAGUUAGUGAGAUUUGUUUCUCUCUUAAAUUUGAGAGUGAAACAGACGAAAAUCCCUCCAAAAGAGAUCGAGAUGGCCUCCACUUGCAGCGUCGAUCGUGUCUUACUUGGUCUAGAGUUGCUUCUGGACAGAUGCCGAGACAUUAAUUUUCUUUGUAUGGUAAUGAUACAGAUCCUUUGGAUGUUCGUGAUGCAAUCAAACAUAUGAAAUUUCUCAAAACAUUUCUUAUGUGUGCUAGAAAGUGGAGCCUUGUUCAUUUGUACUUGCAAUCUGACAAUGUUGUGAAGAAGGUGAGUCUUCCAUCUUUCUUAUCUUGUAUCGAAGAUACCCUUCACAAAUAUGAGGAGGAUAUUCACUCUCUUUCCCUUAGAUUAGGAACGGAAACAUUUGAAUGGGUUAUUCACAAUUCUAUUGUUGAUCGUGGAGUGUUCGGCGAAAUUGGGAAACAGAUCAUAGUACUCAAGCAAGAAAUCAUCCAAAUUUACUUUGCUUUGGCAAGCAGCAGGUCAUUUCAAUCAAAUUCUUGUAUGACAAAUGAUGAACUGUUGGAAUUCAUAGACCUCAUCCUCCAAAAUCUAGCAGAUUUGACAAAUGACUAUAUGAAUUGGGGAAUUAAAGGAUAUGAUCCUUUGCUCGCUGCUUUGAGUGCUCAAGUCCAAGAUCUUGAAGCAAAGCUGACAUUCUUGAAAAGCUUCAUUCCCUUUGCCAAAAUGCGAGGAACCGCAGAUAUUCCUGCCUUGCUACUGGCUCACUUUGAAGUGGUGGCUUUGACCGCAGCACGCCUCUCUUACAUGUGGUCCUUUUGGAAAAAUGUUGAGUACAGAAGUACUUGCAGCUUCAAACUCCUCAGCAUCAGAGCGGUUGAUUUUCAUGUCUACGAGAUUUAUAAGGAAGUACUUGCAGCUUCAAACUCCUCAGCAUCAUUACAUACAGCAGUGAUGGAUGAGCGGAUAUUGAACAACUUCAAUGAUUCUCUGAUAGGUCGUCUCUGGGAGUUGUUAUGCUGCAGCUCUAGCUUUGUGGAUUCUAUGAAAGAUGAAAUGCAAAUACUCUAUGCAGGACUGAGGUUUUUUAGAAGCAUUUUAAGGGAGCAUCAUGAGAUGAUGGAUGAACAAAAUGAAAAAAUUGGAGCUCUCCUGGGUGAGGCAGGCAGUAUAAUAUUCGCGCCCACUCUGAGCAGAGUGAUAGAAGGAGAAGUUAGCUUCUCAGGAUCCACCCAGGUUCUUGUUUUUGUGAUAUGCUGGCCAAUACCAACAUCCAUAUCAAGCAUUUUAAGGAUCAGAUCAGUGGCUCAAGAACUAUAGAGAGUCUUCCUAAUUCCUCUCAUAGCUUAAGAGCACCAGAAGUUAGCCAGACUUCCAGCCGCAUGCUAUCAAAAGGUAAAAUGCCAAUAGACCAUGAAGUCAUGGUUGGUCUUGAUGAUGAGGCAGAAAAAGUAAUUGAACCACUUAUCAAGCAUUUUGAGGAUCAGCUCAGUGUCUCAAGUACUAUACAGAGUCUUCCUAAUUCCUCUCAUAGCUUAAGAGCACCAGAAGUUAGCCAGACUUCCAGCCGCAUGCUAUCAAAAGGUAAAAUGCCAAUAGACCAUGAAGUCAUGGUUGGUCUUGAUGAUGAUGCAGCAAAAGUAAUUGAACGACUUGUAAGCGGAUCAAAACAGGUGGAAAUUGUUCCCAUUGUGGGAAUGGCUGGGCUUGGAUGGAUAAGUUUCAAAAUCUGGAUGAAGAUGACUUGCUUGAAAAGCUCUAUCAAAGGCUAUUGAAGAAUCGGUAUCUUGUUGUUUUUGAUGAUGUCUGGGACAUUGAGGUAUGGAAUGGGCUGAGAACUGCAUUCCCAAUGACAAGAAUGGAAGUAGAAUCAUCUUUACGAGUCGAUCUUCUAAUGUAGCUUCAGAGGUUCAAUAUGGUGGAGAACCUCACUAUCUUCACCCACUCAGUGAGAAAAAAGUUUUGAAUUGCUGCAGAAGAAGGUGUUUGGAGAAGAAGAAGAAUGUCCUCAAGCAUUGCAUGGAUUGGGAAUGGAGAUUGCUGAAAAGUGCUGGGGAUUGCCACUUGCACUUGUUGUUGUAGCUGGAGUCCUAGCAACUAUAGAGCAUGAUAUUUUGGUUUGGAGAAGUUUGCUGAAAGUUUAACUUCAACCAUGGUGUCUGGUACAGACCAGUGGAAGAAGACAUUGGAGCUCAGUUAUGAGCAUUUACCAUAUCACUUGAAAGGCAUGCUUGCUGUAUUUUGCUGCAUUUCGAGAAGAUGAAAAAAUUGGUGCCAAGAAGUUGAUGCGUCUCUGGAUUGCAGAAGGGUUUCGUGGAAAAAAUUGAAGGAAAGAGAUCAGAGGUCAUUGCAGAAGAAUAUCUGAUGGACCUUAUUGGCCGAAACCUGGUUAUGGUAAGUAAAAGCAGAUCCAUUGGUGGAGUCAAAACUUGUUACAUUCACGAUUUGAUAUUUGAGUUCUGUAAGGGCGAGGCGAAAGAAAAGAAAUUCCUUCAGGUCCUGCGAGGAUAUGAUGAGCUUUCUACCUUUAAUGAGCCUCCCAACCUACCUCGGUUGUCCAUUUGCUCCAGUAAAGAAGAUUUUAUACAGUCAAGGCUAUUUUGUCCGCAUUUAGCCAGCCUGCUAUUAUUUGAUGCUACUCCAGGAUAUAAGAAUUUUAAGUUGCUUAAUAUCUCCUUCAUUUUUUGCAUCUACAAACAUCUUAACGUUUUGAAUUUAGAGGGCAUUAACCUAAGGCUGAAGGAGCUUCCAGCUGAAGUCGAAUCACUUCUUUGUUUGAGGUACUUAGCCCUUACAGCUCUGGAAAUGGAAUUCAUUCCACCAUCUAUAGCCAAGCUCUCACAUUUGGAAACCUUUUGUCUAUAUUCUAAUCGGAUGGUUUCAUUGCCAGAUAGCAUCUGGAACAUGAAGAAGUUGAGGCAUGUAUUUUGUGGCUGGCGUCGUUAUUGGUCUUUCUUCCAAUGACAACGUUGUUGAAAACCUCUCCACUUUACCCAAUUUAGACACACUCUCUCGUUUGCGUCUUUAUAAAGAGGGAGAGAACUUAUUGAGAAGGAUUCCCAACGUUCGCCGACUUAAAAUUAUCGAUCAUCAGACUGGAGUGUUGAACAUGAGUCGACUAGAAUGCCUAGAAUCACUCACCUGGUUGGGCAAUUACUCCUCACGUUCACGGGUACAUGUUGAGCUUUCCUUUCCCAUGAAUUUGAAGAAAUUGUGUCUUCACAAUCUGGGUCUUCCCUGUAGUAAAAUGUCAUUGGUUGAACAACUACCCAACCUUGAAGUCCUCAAGUUAAGAUGGCGUUGUCAAGGGACGGCGGCCAAAGAUGGGAGCUGAUGGAAGGAGGAUUCCCUAAACUCAGGGUCUUGACCUUGGAAGAAGUACAGGUUGUGGAGUGGACAGAGGCAGACCCUAACAGUGGUGAAUUACUUCCCGUGCCUUCAGCAAUUAAAACUCCACAAAAUUUUUAAUUUGAAAAUGAUGCCUGCUUGUUUAGGAGUACAUCUACUCUUGAAACAAUUAAUGUGAGUUCUUGCGGAGAUGGCGUCAAAUCUUUAGUACGGGAAAUUAAAGCAGCACAGGAAGAUAAUUAUGGAGAUGGGAAUCUGAAGAUCAUUUAUGGAAAAUAUUGAAGGGCAUCAGCUGGUGCAAUAUCUGGGAGAGCUUUUUGCGCUACGGUGGUUUUCCCUCUUGAGAUUGUAAUUGGUGGUCUGGUUUUCUUUGGUGCUUUUGUGGAAGAUUGAGGUAAAAGUUGGAAAGGAUCGACGGCUCUUUUCUUGUCAAGAUAUGGUGGAAACAAUCAAUGAGAUUAUUCAGAUAUUUUGCUGUUGGCCUAUUUUGUGUAAUUUCGUUUUGCUGAAUUUAAUGAUGGUUUUGUGCUAUUUCUUUUCAAACAUGUGUCAAUUUGCCGUCAAGGAACUUUGUUAUCUUUUUUUUUUCUUUUUUUCUAUUUGAGUUUCAAACUCCAUCAUUUUUUUGAUGUUUGAGCUCAUGAUUCUUGGAAGAAUAUGAUAGCCCAAUUUGGAAACCUCUAUGAUCA